GGCAGUGUGGUUUAGUGAUAGAGUGUCUGCCUAGCAAGCACAAGGUCCUGAGUUCAAAUCUCAGUAAUACCG
rnacentral:tRNA from 1 species